CGUUUAGUGGCGGACGGGUGAGUAACGCGUGGGUAACCUGCCCUGUACAGGGGGAUAACAGCUGGAAACGGCUGUUAAUACCGCAUAAGCGCACAGGAGCGCAUGCUCCGGUGUGAAAAACUCCGGUGGUACAGGAUGGACCCGCGUCUGAUUAGCUAGUUGGUGGGGUAAUGGCCUACCAAGGCAACGAUCAGUAGCCGGCCUGAGAGGGUGAACGGCCACAUUGGGACUGAGACACGGCCCAAACUCCUACGGGAGGCAGCAG
rnacentral:rRNA from 1 species